rnacentral:rRNA from 1 species
GUGAGGAAUAUUGGUCAAUGGGCGGGAGCCUGAACCAGCCAAGUCGCGUGAAGGAAGAAGGAUCUAUGGUUCGUAAACUUCUUUUGCAGGGGAAUAAAGUGCAGGACGUGUCCUGUUUUGUAUGUACCCUGAGAAUAAGGAUCGGCUAACUCCGUGCCAGCAGCCGCGGUAAUACGGAGGAUCAGAGCGUUAGCCGGAUGUAUUGGGUUUAAAGGGUGCGUAGGUGGUUUGAUAAGUCAGCGGUGAAAGUAUGCAGCUUAACUGUAAGAAUGCCGUUGAAACUGGCGGACUUGAGUGUAAAUGAGGUAGGCGGAAUGCGUGGUGUAGCGGUGAAAUGCAUAGAUAUCACGCAGAACUCCGAUUGCGAAGGCAGCUUACUAAGCUACAACUGACACUGAAGCACGAAAGCGUGGGGAUCAAACAGGAUUAGAAACCCUGGUAGUCC